rnacentral:rRNA from 1 species
UUUCCGCGCCGCAGCUAACGCAUUAAGUGCCCCGCCUGGGGAGUACGGUCGCAAGACUAAAACUCAAAGAAAUUGACGGGGGCCCGCACAAGCAGCGGAGCAUGUGGCUUAAUUCGAUGCAACGCGAAAAACCUUACCUAGAUUUGACAUGCUGGGAAAAGCCGCAGAGAUGCGGUGUCCUUCGGGGCUCAGCACAGGUGGUGCAUGGCUGUCGUCAGCUCGUGUCGUGAGAUGUUGGGUUAAGUCCCGCAACGAGCGCAACCCUUGUUCUAUGUUGCCAGCACGUAAUAGUGGGGACUCGUAGAAGACUGCCGGGGUCAACUCGGAGGAAGGUGGGGACGACGUCAAGUCAUCAUGCCCCUUACGUCUAGGGCUGCACACAUGCUACAAUGGCCGGUACAGAGGGCUGCUAAACCGCGAGGUGGAGCCAAUCCCUAAAACCGGUCUCAGUUCAGAUUGCAGGCUGCAACUCGCCUGCAUGAAGUUGGAGUUGCUAGUAAUCCCGGAUCAGCACUGCCGGGGUGAAUACGUUCCCGGGCCUUGUACACACCGCCCGUCAAACCACGAAAGUUGGCAACACCCGAAGCCGGUGGCCUAACCGCAAGGAAGGAGCCGUCGAAGGUGGGGUCAGUGAUUGGGGUUAAGUCGUAACAAGGUAGCCG